GCCUCAGUAGCUUAACCUCAAAGCGCCGGCCUUGUAAGCAGGAGAUUGGAGGUUGGAAUCCCCCCUAAGGCC
rnacentral:tRNA from 1 species